rnacentral:rRNA from 1 species
AUUGAACGCUGGCGGCAGGCCUAACACAUGCAAGUCGAACGGCAGCACAGAAGAGCUUGCUCUUUGGGUGGCGAGUGGCGGACGGGUGAGUAAUGUCUGGGAAACUGCCCGAUGGAGGGGGAUAACUACUGGAAACGGUAGCUAAUACCGCAUAACGUCGCGAGACCAAAGUGGGGGACCUUCGGGCCUCACACCAUCGGAUGUGCCCAGAUGGGAUUAGCUAGUAGGUGGGGUAAUGGCUCACCUAGGCGACGAUCCCUAGCUGGUCUGAGAGGAUGACCAGCCACACUGGUACUGAGACACGGUCCAGACUCCUACGGGAGGCAGCAGUGGGGAAUAUUGCACAAUGGGCGCAAGCCUGAUGCAGCCAUGCCGCGUGUAUGAAGAAGGCCUUCGGGUUGUAAAGUACUUUCAGCGGGGAGGAAGGCGGUGAGGUUAAUAACCUUGCCGAUUGACGUUACCCGCAGAAGAAGCACCGGCUAACUCCGUGCCAGCAGCCGCGGUAA